AGUGAACGCUGGCGGUAGGCCUAACACAUGCAAGUCGAACGGCAGCACAGGAGAGCUUGCUCUCUGGGUGGCGAGUGGCGGACGGGUGAGGAAUACAUCGGAAUCUGCCCAGUCGUGGGGGAUAACGUAGGGAAACUUACGCUAAUACCGCAUACGACCUUCGGGUGAAAGAGGGGGAUCGCAAGACCUCUCGCGAUUGGAUGAGCCGAUGUCGGAUUAGCUAGUUGGCGGGGUAAUGGCCCACCAAGGCGACGAUCCGUAGCUGGUCUGAGAGGAUGAUCAGCCACACUGGAACUGAGACACGGUCCAGACUCCUACGGGAGGCAGCAGUGGGGAAUAUUGGACAAUGGGCGCAAGCCUGAUCCAGCCAUGCCGCGUGGGUGAAGAAGGCCUUCGGGUUGUAAAGCCCUUUUGUUGGGAAAGAAAUCUUUCAGGCUAAUACCCUGGGAGGAUGACGGUACCCAAAGAAUAAGCACCGGCUAACUUCGUG
rnacentral:rRNA from 1 species